AUACGUAGGUGGCAAGCGGUGUCCGGAUUUACUGGGUGUAAAGGGCGCGUAGGCGGGAUGGUAAGUCUGAUGUGAAAUACCCGAGCUCAACCCGGAACCUGCAUUUGCAACUGUCGGUCUUGAGUAUCGGCGAGGUAAUCGGAAUUCUUUGUGUAGCGGGGAAAUGCGUAGAUAUAAGGAAGACUACCAGUGGCGAAGGCGGAUUACUGGACGAAAACUGACGGUGAGGCAAGAAAGCGUGGGGAGCAAACAGAAUUAGAUACCCUGGUAGUCCACGCUGUAAACGAUCAAUACUAGGUGUGCGGGGACUGACCCCCUGCGUGCCGCAGUUAACACAAUAAGUAUUGCACCUGGGGAGUACGAUCGCAAGGUUGAAACUCAAAGGAAUUGACGGGG
rnacentral:rRNA from 1 species